rnacentral:tRNA from 1 species
AGCAACAUAGUCAAGUAGUAAGACAAAGGACUACAAAUCCUCCAUCCCCAGUUCGAAUCCGGGUGUCACCU